GAACUUCUUAGCAUGCAUUUAGUCAAUAAAGGAUUGAUCUUAUGUAGUAUCUGUUCUCAUCAGCAAUUUCCCCAUAUGUGGGAAACUAGACUGCAUAAUUUCUGGUAGUGGGGGACUGCGUUUGUGCUCUCCCUUA
rnacentral:snRNA from 13 species